AAUCAAAUAUACACUUUCGUCAACGAUUGUCUUUGAGAUUCGAUUUCGAACGAAUUUAUAUCCCGUUUGCACGCUUUUUAUACAUCUCGAUCGGCGAAAAAAGAAGAGAUGGAAGAGAAAGAAGAAAAAAAGGAAAAAGAACGAAACGGUGCGCGGUGCAAAAGAAAAAGAGGAAAAGGAUCGACGGUCGACACGUGGCACGGUAACACACGAUUUCCUGUCCCCAAAAACCGAUGACGGGCGAGAGAAGAGUGGUGAGCUUGUUCUCGCUUACAUUUUUGUCUUCCAUCCGGUCGGGUCGAAAUAACCCCCGUGCCCAGAGGGUGGUAUCUCGCGCGCGCGAAAAAGCCAGAGCGGACACAAUGGUCCUGGCUCCGUACCUACGUGUCCAGGGACGUACGUGCGAACCAACGCCGCCCCUUCCCGCUCCAACGCAAUAAAAUUCCGCGCCGGCUUUCGUUCCGCGCAAUAAUGGCAGCGAGAGAGAAAAAAAUCGAACGCUUUCGAGCGAGACAGCGCCAAUGGGACAAAGAGAAAGGUGUGCGCGUGUUCGAGAGAGAGGGAGGGAGGGUCAACGAGAAAUAUGAAUACGUUCACGGUGAUUCGGUUAAUUUUUAACACGAAACAGAGGGCAGUUCGCCGCUGGCAUAUUUGGUCCGGUUCGAUGGCUCGCUUCCAUUGCGCCGUUGGUUGGAAAUCUGCGAGAAUAGAGAGAGAGAGAGAGAGAGAGAAA